CUGAGUACUACACUCUCUACCCUUUGUGUAACUAUUAUACCUGUUGCUUCGGCGGCGCCCGCAAGGGUGCCCGCCGGUCUCAUCAGAAUCUCUGUUUUCGAACCCGACGAUACUUCUGAGUGUUCUUAGCGAACUGUCA
rnacentral:misc_RNA from 1 species